UACAGAGGGUGCAAGCGUUGUUCGGAAUUACUGGGCGUAAAGAGCUCGUAGGUGGUUUGUCGCGUUGUUCGUGAAAACUCACAGCUUAACUGUGGGCGUGCGGGCGAUACGGGCAGACUUGAGUACUGCAGGGGAGACUGGAAUUCCUGGUGUAGCGGUGGAAUGCGCAGAUAUCAGGAGGAACACCGGUGGCGAAGGCGGAUCUCUGGGCCGAUACUGACGCUGAGGAGCGAAAGCGUGGGGAGCGAACAGG
rnacentral:rRNA from 1 species